CCGGCGCACGGGUGAGUAACACGUAUCCAACCUGCCGUCUACUCUUGGACAGCCUUCUGAAAGGAAGAUUAAUACAAGAUGGCAUCAUGAGUCCGCAUGUUCACAUGAUUAAAGGUAUUCCGGUAGACGAUGGGGAUGCGUUCCAUUAGAUAGUAGGCGGGGUAACGGCCCACCUAGUCUUCGAUGGAUAGGGGUUCUGAGAGGAAGGUCCCCCACAUCGGAACUGAGACACGGUCCAAACUCCUACGGAAGGCAGCAG
rnacentral:rRNA from 1 species